GCAUCUCAUUCUUGGGAGCCAAAACUUUGUAAUUUGCUACUGGGCAGCCUGCUCUCGCUGACAUUCUUUCUGAUAACAGAGUAGUGCCCUCUCUUUAUUUAUAGCUGGACGACUAACCCCAGAGAUCUAUUUGGUAACUAGGUAUACAUAUUAUAACAGACUCUUAUUAAGGAAGAAAUGAAAAAUACUAUCAAAUUGCCUCUGGCAAGCAAAAUUACUGGGCCAAGGGACAUUUUCCUCUACCAGCUGAUAACCUUAAAGACAUUUCUAUUAGCCACGGUUUCACAGUACUGGUUUCAUAAGGAUGCCAUUUCACAAGACACCAACUGAAACACACAGAAGGAAUACUCUCUGGGAAUGAGUUUCUUUGGUAACAUAGUUUUUAGACAUAAAAGUGUUCAAAAUGUUUGGAGGGUGCUUGUCUUUAAAGUUAAAGAAAAAUCUAUAAAAAUGUAAAACUAAAUUUUAUGU
rnacentral:lncRNA from 1 species